AUUGAACGCUGGCGGCAGGCCUAACACAUGCAAGUCGAGCGGAUGAAGGGAGCUUGCGUCUGGAUUCAGCGGCGGACGGGUGAGUAAAGCACAGGAAUCUGCCUGGUAGUGGGGGAUAAUGUCUGGAAAAGGGCGGUAAUAAUGCAUAAGUCGUGCGGGAGAAAGUGGGGGGUCUUUGGACCUCACGGUAUGAGAGGAGCCUAGGUCGGAUUAGCUAGCUGGUGGGGUAAGGGGCUACUAAGGCGAGUAUCGGUAACUGGUCUGAUUGGAUGAUUAGUCACACUGGAACUUGACCACGGUCCAGAGUCCUACGGGACGCACCAGUGGCGAAUAUUGGGCAAUGGGCGAAAGUCUGAUCCAGCCGUGCCGCGUGUGUGAAGAAGGUCUUCGGAUUGUAAAGCACUUUAAGUUGGGAGGAACGGCAGUAGGUUAAUACGUUGCUGUUUUGACGUUACCAACAGAAUAAGCACCGGCUAACUUCGUG
rnacentral:rRNA from 1 species